AAUAUUGGACAAUGGGGGCAACCCUGAUCCAGCCAUCCCGCGUGUGUGAAGAAGGUCUUCGGUUGGUAAAUCACUUUAUGUUGGGAGGAAGGGCUUUAGGUUAAUACCCUGAAGUGUUGACGUUACCAGCAGAAGAAGCACCGGCUAACUCGGUGCCAGCAGCCGCGGUAAUGUAGAGGGUGCAAGCGUUAAUCAGAUUUAGUGGGCGUAAAGCACGCGUGAGUAGUUCAGUAAAAUAGGUGGGGAAUCCCCGGGCUUAACCUGGGAACUGAUUUCAUAACUGAUGGGCUGGAGUGCGGUAGGGGGUAGUGGGAUUUCCUGGGUAGCGGUGGAAUGCAUGGAUAUAGAAAAGAAAAACAGUGGCUAAGGCGGCUACCUGGACUAAUACUGACACUGGAGUGCGAAAGCGUGGGGGGCAAAC
rnacentral:rRNA from 1 species